GUUCAAUGACUGUGCCAGUUGCAAGUGGGACCUCUGUGUUCCACCUGUCAGGGGAUCCAUGAUCUGGCCGGCUGGCCACCUUAGAGCAGCCCCAGGAGGUGGUUGACUGUAUGCCAAGGCAGAAUAGCCUCCUUCAUUUUUCCUGCCUCUUAUUUUUUAUCCCUGGUAUCCAAUAUUGUAAUAGCAAUCUAUCCUCCUCGCAUGGACUGGACUUAUUCCUUUCUCACAAGGACAUUUGCAUUCCCAAUUGACAACAAUAGUUUGUAUACAC